rnacentral:lncRNA from 1 species
ACCCACACUCAGACUUGGACAUUCAUUUAUUGGAUGCACUUGUUGUUGUCAUGUUAAUGGUUGGACCUAAUCAGAAUUUUUAGUAAAGGUGCCAUACACCUGCUGAAGAGAUAUCUGAGGCAAAAUCUGAUUGCUAAAAAUUAUUUGGAGAAAUAAUUGGUUAUGAACCUACCUAUGAAUGUACUAGGGUAGGUCAAGCCACACUCAGGCCUGAAUGCAGUCUGUGUAGA